CAGGUCUGGUCAGUUGAUAUUUGAUUCAGGUCUGGUCAGUAGUCAGUUGAUAUUUGAUCCAGGUCUGGUCAGUUGAUAUUUGAUCCAGGUCUGGUCAGUUGAUAUUUAAUCCAGGUCUGGUCAGUUGAUAUUUGAUUCAGGUCUGGUCAGUUGAUAUUUGAUCCAGGUCUGGUCAGUUGAUAUUUGAUCCAGGUCUGGUCAGUGGUCGGUCAGUCAGUUGAUAUUUGAUCCAGGUCUGGUCAGUGGUCGGUCAGUCAGUUGAUAUUUGAUCCAGGUCUGGUCAGUAGUCAGUUGAUAUUUGAUCCAGGUCUGGUCAGUUGAUAUUUGAUCCAGGUCUGGUCAGUGGUCGGUCAGUCAGUUGAUAUUUGAUCCAGGUCUGGUCAGUAGUCAGUUGAUAUUUGAUCCAGGUCUGGUCAGUUGAUAUCUGAUCCAGGUCUGGUCAGUAGUCAGUUGAUAUUUGAUCCAGGUCUGGUCAGUUGAUAUUUGAUCCAGGUCUGGUCAGUGGUCGGUCAGUCAGUUGAUAUUUGAUCCAGGUCUGGUCAGUGGUCGGUCAGUCAGUUGAUAUUUGAUCCAGGUCUGGUCAGUAGUCAGUUGAUAUUUGAUCCAGGUCUGGUCAGUUGAUAUUUGAUCCAGGUCUGGUCAGUUGAUAUUUGAUCCAGGUCUGGUCAGUUGAUAUUUGAUCCAGGUCUGGUCAGUAGUCAGUUGAUAUUUGAUCCAGGUCUGGUCAGUAGUCAGUUGAUAUUUGAUCCAGGUCUGGUCAGUAGUCAGUUGAUAUUUGAUCCAGGUCUGGUCAGUUGAUAUUUGAUCCAGGUCUGGUCAGUUGAUAUUUGAUUCAGGUCUGGUCAGUUGAUAUUUGAUCCAGGUCUGGUCAGUAGUCAGUUGAUAUUUGAUUCAGGUCUGGUCAGUAGUCAGUUGAUAUUUGAUCCAGGUCUGGUCAGUAGUCAGUUGAUAUUUGAUUCAGGUCUGGUCAGUAGUCAGUUGAUAUUUGAUCCAGGUCUGGUCAGUAGUCAGUUGAUAUUUGAUCCAGGUCUGGUCAGUUGAUAUUUGAUCCAGGUCUGGUCAGUUGAUAUUUGAUCCAGGUCUGGUCAGUUGAUAUUUGAUCCAGGUCUGGUCAGUAGUCAGUUGAUAUUUGAUCCAGGUCUGGUCAGUAGUCAGUUGAUAUUUGAUUCAGGUCUGGUCAGUUGAUAUUUGAUUCAGGUCUGGUCAGUUGAUAUUUGAUUCAGGUCUGGUCAGUUGAUAUCUGAUCCAGGUCCGGUCAGUUGAUAUUUGAUCCAGGUCUGGUCAGUAGUCAGUUGAUAUUUGAUCCAGGUCUGGUCAGUAGUCAGUUGAUAUUUGAUUCAGGUCUGGUCAGUAGUCAGUUGAUAUUUGAUCCAGGUCUGGUCAGUAGUCAGUUGAUAUUUGAUCCAGGUCUGGUCAGUUGAUAUUUGAUUCAGGUCUGGUCAGUUGAUAUUAGAUCCAGGUCUGGUCAGUUGAUAUUUGAUCCAGGUCUGGUCAGUAGUCAGUUGAUAUUUGAUCCAGGUCUGGUCAGUUGAUAUUUGAUCCAGGUCUGGUCAGUAGUCAGUUGAUAUUUGAUCCAGGACUGGUCAGUUGAUAUUUAAUCCAGGUCUGGUCAGUAGUCAGUUGAUAUUUGAUCCAGGUCUGGUCAGUUGAUAUUUGAUCCAGGUCUGGUCAGUUGAUAUUUGAUCCAGGUCUGGUCAGUAGUCAGUUGAUAUUUGAUCCAGGUCUGGUCAGUUGAUAUUUGAUCCAGGUCUGGUCAGUGGUCGGUCAGUCAGUUGAUAUUUGAUCCAGGUCUGGUCAGUAGUCAGUUGAUAUUUGAUCCAGGUCUGGUCAGUCAGUUGAUAUUUGAUCCAGGUCUGGUCAGUGGUCGGUCAGCCAGUAAUGUAACAGUGAAGACAUAUCUAACAGUAAAAGUCUUGGACAGGAGGAGUGUGUUGUGUGCUGACUUCCCAGAACGUCUGUGAUAGUUUUUGUCUUGGAGAACAGAGUGGAGACGGAGAGUGUGUGUGUGUGUGUGUGUGUGUGU